rnacentral:tRNA from 1 species
CAGGGUAUAGCUAAAUUAGUAAAGCACCUCUUUUACGCUGAGAAGACAUCCACUCGAACUGGGUUAUCCUGA